AGUGAACGCUGGCGGCGUGCCUAACACAUGCAAGUCGCGCGUGAAAGGGUAGCAAUAUCCGAGUAAAGCGGCGAACGGGUGAGUAACACGUGGUUAACCUGCCGAGAUGUGGGGGAUACCCCGGGGAAACCCGGGCGUAAUACCGCAUGAUGUCUUCCGGGCGUGGGCCUGGAGGAGCAAAGCCGGGGACCGCGAAGGCCUGGCGCGAUUUCGAGGGGACCGCGGCCGAUUAGCUAGUUGGCGGGGUAACGGCCCA
rnacentral:rRNA from 1 species